rnacentral:rRNA from 1 species
CGACUGUUUACCAAAAACACAGAUCGCUGCUAGUUCGUAAGGAUGUGUAUAGCGGUUGAAACCUGCCCAGUGUCGGUACCUGAAAAUCCCGUACAAGGGAAAGAAGGGCCGAUAAACGGCGGGGGUAACUAUGACCCUCUUAAGGUAGCGUAAUACCUAGCCGCUUAAUUGGCGGCUUGCAUGAAGGUUCAACGUGAGUCCCACUGUCCCCGCGUUCAGCCCCGUGAAAUUGAUGCACUGGUGCACAAUCCAGUCUCUCCCACGUGAAAGCGAAGUCCCCGUGGAGCUUUACUGCAGCCUGUAGCUGUAAUACGGUGCUUAAUGCGUAGAGUAGGAAGGAGCUGUCGAUGCCUGGGUUCUGGCUCAGGUGGAGGCGACGAUGAAACACUUCCCUUUGAGUACUGAAUUACUAACCUCGCAAGAGGGACAACUAUUGGUGGGCAGUUUGGGUGGGGCGCCACGCCCCCGAGAAUUUAACAGGGGCCCCCAAAGGUUAGCUCAGGAGGGUCAGUAAUCCUCCGUAGAGUGUAAGGGCAAAAGCUAGCUUGACUGAGUUCCGGACAAUAAGGAACGCAGAUGCGAAAGCAGGGCCUAACGAACCACCCUGUCCCCCUUUAGUGGGGGCGGGUGAUAAGAGAGAAGUUACCCCAGGGAUAACUGAGUUGUCCUCGGCAAGAGUUCAUAUCGACCCGAGGGUUUGCUACUUCGAUGUCGUCUGUUCCUAUCCUGGUGCUGAACAAGGUGCCAAGGGUGGGGCUGUUCGCCCAUUAAAAGGGAUCCUGAGAUGGGUUCACUACGUCGCGAGACAGUAGGGUUGCUUCUCCGUGGGAGUGUUCGAUGUCUGAAGGGAAGGAGCCUUUAGUACGAGAGGAACGGGGGUUCGUGACCUCUGGUUUGCCGGUUGUCUGUCAAGGCAUUUGCCGGGUAGCCACGUCAUACGCGAAUAAAAGCUGAAAGCAUCUAAGCUUGAAGUCGCCCCUGAAAAUAGACAUCGUUAUUAGGUCUCUCCUAGAAGAGGAGAUUGAUAGAACUGGGAUGUAAGUGCCGAGCUUCGGCGAGGCAUUCAGUCUACAGUUACUAAUCGACCGAAUGCACAAUC